UAUGCCUUAGUAUAUGAUGUAUAAAAGUUUUUGAUACUGGAGGAAACAGUUUAAUUCUGUUAGGUGUAA
rnacentral:tRNA from 1 species